UGGCGGCAGGCCUAACACAUGCAAGUCGAACGGUAGCACAGAGGAGCUUGCUCCUUGGGUGACGAGUGGCGGACGGGUGAGUAAUGUCUGGGGAUCUGCCCGAUGGAGGGGGAUAACUACUGGAAACGGUAGCUAAUACCGCAUAACGUCGCAAGACCAAAGUGGGGGACCUUCGGGCCUCACACCAUCGGAUGAACCCAGAUGGGAUUAGCUAGUAGGUGGGGUAACGGCUCACCUAGGCGACGAUCCCUAGCUGGUCUGAGAGGAUGACCAGCCACACUGGAACUGAGACACGGUCCAGACUCCUACGGGAGGCAGCAGUGGGGAAUAUUGCACAAUGGGCGCAAGCCUGAUGCAGCCAUGCCGCGUGUAUGAAGAAGGCCUUCGGGUUGUAAAGUACUUUCAGCGGGGAGGAAGGCGGUGAGGUUAAUAACCUCAUCGAUUGACGUUACCCGCAGAAGAAGCACCGGCUAACUCCGUGCCAGCAGCCGCGGUAAUACGGAGGGUGCAAGCGUUAAUCGGAAUUACUGGGCGUAAAGCGCACGCAGGCGGUCUGUCAAGUCGGAUGUGAAAUCCCCGGGCUUAACCUGGGAACUGCAUUCGAAACUGGCAGGCUAGAGUCUCGUAGAGGGGGGUAGAAUUCCAGGUGUAGCGGUGAAAUGCGUAGAGAUCUGGAGGAAUACCGGUGGCGAAGGCGGCCCCCUGGACGAAGACUGACGCUCAGGUGCGAAAGCGUGGGGAGCAAACAGGAUUAGAUACCCUGGUAGUCCACGCCGUAAACGAUGUCGACUUGGAGGUUGUGCCCUUGAGGCGUGGCUUCCGGAGCUAACGCGUUAAGUCGACCGCCUGGGGAGUACGGCCGCAAGGUUAAAACUCAAAUGAAUUGACGGGGGCCCGCACAAGCGGUGGAGCAUGUGGUUUAAUUCGAUGCAACGCGAAGAACCUUACCUGGCCUUGACAUCCACGGAAUUUGGCAGAGAUGCCUUAGUGCCUUCGGGAACCGUGAGACAGGUGCUGCAUGGCUGUCGUCAGCUCGUGUUGUGAAAUGUUGGGUUAAGUCCCGCAACGAGCGCAACCCUUAUCCUUUGUUGCCAGCGAUUCGGUCGGGAACUCAAAGGAGACUGCCGGUGAUAAACCGGAGGAAGGUGGGGAUGACGUCAAGUCAUCAUGGCCCUUACGGCCAGGGCUACACACGUGCUACAAUGGCGCAUACAAAGAGAAGCGACCUCGCGAGAGCAAGCGGACCUCAUAAAGUGCGUCGUAGUCCGGAUUGGAGUCUGCAACUCGACUCCAUGAAGUCGGAAUCGCUAGUAAUCGUAGAUCAGAAUGCUACGGUGAAUACGUUCCCGGGCCUUGUACACACCGCCCGUCACACCAUGGGAGUGGGUUGCAAAAGAAGUAGGUAGCUUAACCUUCGGGAGGGCGCUUACCACUUUGUGAUUCAUG
rnacentral:rRNA from 1 species